CACGUAGGGCGCAAGCGUUGUCCGGAAUUAUUGGGCGUAAAGAGCUCGUAGGCGGUCUGUUGCGUCCGCUGUGAAAACUCGGGGCUUAACCCCGAGCCUGCAGUGGAUACGGGCAGACUAGAGGUAGGUAGGGGAGAAUGGAAUUCCCGGUGUAGCGGUGAAAUGCGCAGAUAUCGGGAGGAACACCGGCGGCGAAGGCGGUUCUCUGGGCCUGUGCUGACGCUGAGGAGCGAAAGCGUGGGGAGCGAACAGG
rnacentral:rRNA from 1 species